UGUGAUGGAUUUUUUAUUUUUUUGGGGGGGGGGCAGAGGUACAUCAUUCAUGCCGCUAUAUACAAAGUUGCUAGGUGAUGUAACCUCCAGAAAGGGUAUUCCUGGGAAGGGGAAAGGGAGGAUAAAGAAGGGAGAGAGGAACAAAACACUGUUUCCAUAAGUGAAAAGAGGGGAAACAAAAGAAAGAGCCCAACCCCUAAAAAAGCAAGACCAACAGGUUUUUCUCCCCAACCAGCUACCGAAACUUGAAUUACACGUGGGUACCACGCUGGUGAAAGGGCACCAACGGUUAAACGAGCUGACACACUAAAGGAUUUAACAGUCGUCUGAUCAACCAAUGCCCUGAAGGGAAGCUUCCAGAAAGCGGUCAUCAUUGGCUGGUGUGUGGCUGUGGAAUAGCCCUACCCCCUUCAACCCCCGCUUCUGCUCUGAAGCUUUCCAGGAAUACACUGGUGGACUGCAAUGCACAAACACACACAGGCGCACACAGUAUAUCAAGGCUCCAGGAACCUGAGUGCAUGUAUAAGAGGAGAGGCCAGCUUUAGAGUCUCCAAGUUUCCCAGCACUGACAGAGCACUAAGGCAUGAAAUGCAGCUGCACAGCUGGAACUGACAGUGACAGGGACGAGUUGAUUAAGACGAGGAGACUGAAAGACGGAAAAAAGGCACGUGCGGUUAGAGACGCCGCUCACGUUUCUGCUUUAUGAUGAACGCAAAGGAGUGACAGAUGCCCAGCCGGGACCCACGUGAGGGAAGCAGCACUUCCUGUGUUUGUGCAUCUCGCUGUUUGCUUUCCCUUUUGCACAACAAGUGACGAGAUUUCCUGCAAGCUCCUGUUCCAGACUCCCAGCAUGGGCAGAGAGGCAGAACAAUGAGGAGGAAGAGAGAGCAGGGGCAGUGGAGGAGAUAAUGGAGGAACACACGCACAGGUCAUGUGCAAACACAGGCAAAGAUUGAGGUGUACGUGAGGACACACACCCUGAUCAAACAAGCACACAUGCAGGCAGUGUGGAUAACUGCAAUGAGGCCAAAUACAACAUGAAAAAGAAGAAGCAAAGGGACCAAAAAAAAGACAGAAAACAACACAGGGAAAUUGCAACAUAAAGGCCCAGAACCUUAUCAAAAUCAAGACUGCAAAUUUAAUUUCAUUCAUUCAGUCAGCACUAACAUUUCCUUCUUAAGCAUGGUCUAGUUCAGUCAGUGCAGUGGCUUCCACGUCAUGAAGGUUACUCGGUGAGGUGAAAUCCCCAGUGGUUGUGAGAAAUGUCCCAUCUGUGCAUACAGUACAUGGCCCUGAGCGACACAUGAACUCACCAAAGCGCACCAAACCCCUGACCUACUCUUCAUCUACAAGAAGAAACGGAUGUGGGGAUUGUGUCUUACUCUUUUAUUCCCCACACAAUAAACAAAUGUUCAACCUGACACACUGACACCAAGGUUAAGAUGAGAAACAGCUUACAGAGCGGAUGUCCAGCACACAAGCGCUGCGACGCAUGUAGCCUCUUCCAGAGCCAUAGAUAGCGCUUUUCUAUUUCUAUCUGUUGCUCCUGUCAAAUCCCAGCAUUUGAAGUAGUCGGGAAGCUCUCAGUGUGUAUUGAAUGCACUGCUGAUGAACAGGAACAAUCACUUUGUGUUAGUUUAGAACUCAGAGGUCAAAAUACUUUAAUUUUUAGCAUUUUUCUGGCUCCCUGAAGCAAAUAAACCCUUACAGCCUGCGCCAUAGAAACAAACAAUUUGUGUCCAUUACGCCUGUGCCUUUACAUGAUGAAAAAAAUAAAAUAAAACAAAGGUUCCACCUCAUGAUACCAAUGAUAUAGCGAUGCCAUGUGUUUACAUUCCCUAGCAAGCACAACAAUGAUACAAGCCCAGACAUGGGUGAGCAGCAGCAGGUCAGCCUUGAAUGAUGAUUCUAUGCCUGGAAAAAAGCAAGCUACUUUAAUAGCACACAAGUGUUAACACUAACUAUGACUCAAUCUAGCAUCGCUGAGGUGCUCGUUAGUUGCGCUCCGUAUGACAGGAAGAGCAAAUGGUGGAUGGAAGUUAGUGAUGUGGUUACAAGCUGGUAAAGCAGAAUUUUAAGACUGUAUCCCCCACCCCUCGCGUUUCUGCAGCUUAUGAAUGCAACUUGCCAAAUACGGUAACUUGUAGCUUCAAAGAAAUAAAAAAGAUAGCCAAAUUGCAUUUUAAGGCCUCAGUAUUAGCAUGCCCAAAAUCAGUGACACAUGUUUAAUUAUUAUUAUUAUUAUAUUCGAAUCCUUUAUAACCUCAUAUUUCUAUUACUGCUGGGUACAAAAUAACUCAUUAUACAGUGCUAUCACAACGGGUUGUUUUUUUCAGUACUUCUCAAUAUCUGUAACUGAAGGAGAGAAAAAAUAGCCUAAAAAAGGCAUAAUGCAGAAAUGAUGCAUUUAGUUACUUCAACCUCCUGUCAGAGUGUGUCGUAUCGUUACUAUUCAAUUUCAAUAAUGAACUCAAUAGCACUCUGAUUUGCUUUGCCCCCCACUGCUUCCUAGUGCUAAUUAGUUCAUUUAUUAAUAAAUGUCUGGUUUUGUAAAUAACAUGUGGUAUAAAUGCAUAGCAAUGCAACUUUCUAUGCAUUUAUCACCUCCCCCACUGCUGCGUCAAACUUAUUUUACCAGAAUUUUUUAACAUAAGAAGUUUUAACAUGUGAUAGAUAUACCAUUGAUUUGCAUGUGACCAAGCCUGCAUGCAAGAAAAGCAACACUGUCACUGUCAAGUAGUUGCAUAACGAUUUAAAAAUGCAGAGAACGUCAUUAAUCACUUCUCAAACAGGCAGCUACUGGUAUUGGUGCUUUACAGAGACAUGGCAUACCCAUGGGGAGGAAGUGUGGCUGAAGAAGAUAAAGAGUAGCACAGAAGGAAUGAGGGAGAAUAAAGAGAAAUGGUAUACAAGAGACAGGAGUUCAGGAGUCACUGGCUCGCGUCACAGAUCUCCCUCCAUCACUCUUUAUGUAGGCUAAUCUCUUCCAUCUCGCCUCCCUGAGCUGACUGGCUCACUUAGCCUCUUUUAACCAGCUAACGGAUGGUAAUAAAUCAGCAGCACACUCCUCUCACCUCUAAUCUCUCAUAGCCUGCGCUGCUCCGCACACUCCCCCUGAUAUAUGACUCAGUCCACCCCGACUCCUAGUGCGAGGCAGUUACUGUUGGAAGUAGGGGUUAGACAGCAACCAGAAAAUCAGAAAGUGUGGAUGACGGAUGAGACCAGAAGCAAGAAGAAGAAAGAACAGACUCACAUCUCCUGUUCUUCUGCUUUACUUAUUUAGAACUUUAUGCCGUUUGUUCAAUACUUUGUCUAGACCCUUGUCACAUAUUAGGGAAUAGUAUUUUAAGAGUUUCACAUGUGUGGCAAAAUAUUUUUGGAAGUUUGUAAAAUUUGCAUUUAAUCAAUCUAUGCAAUUAAAAAUUACUUUUUAUAGGCAAGGGAAAAAGUUACGUUGUAGCCUCCCAAAUUGGAACUUUUAAAAUGUUAAAUCUGGCGUUGACAGAUGAAGUCGGAGCCUUUCCUUCCUCUGCAUGGCUUCCUGGAUUAAACUGCGGCAAAAUGAGCUGCUCCUCAACCUCCUGUGCCUCAUAAUACCCUGUAUUCACAGCCAGUCUUCUGCACAGCAAACUUGUAACCUAGCUCCCUGUGCUAACAAGCUGUUGGCUCAGUGUUGUCAUUUAUCACCCAGCUCAGAGACCACCUGGGAUUAGAAAGGCUUUAAGAAAGGUCAUGUUUAACAGGUCUACCGCUAACAAACACUAGAGAAGAUAAAGAUUAGUGUUGUGACACGGUAUGCAAGACCACGGGCAUGACUAUGUUAUAAUGAAGUGCAGUGUUGUGUGUGCGCGAAGAGAAUACGAAGAACAGCGCAUGGACAGAGCAUGUUCCCCAGCGUGGUUCUCUGCAAACACUCAGAUGAUCAGACUUAUCCGUGUUUACACUAAACACCGCCUCAAGGGUCAAAUACUUUGUUGUGCGCCUUGUGUUUCUUGUAUUUUGUCCAGCUUUGAGCUUUUCAGCCCUGCUCCUGGGAGGCCGUGUCAGCAGCUUCCACAGAGUGACCCCAACCCUGCAGCGGAAAUUGGACGACCCCGAUCACCAGCUCCCUCUCCGUUAUCUCCCUUUGCCUUCAUUCCAAGUCAAACUCUUCCCUGAAAAACAUCUCCGUCCUCCUCCACAUCCUUUUUUAGAUUCAAGCUAACAAGUUCACAGCCUCACACACUCAUGUUUGGCAGCCUGUCCACAACACAGUUAGGUUUGUAGAUGCAGGCAUGUCGAUUGUCCUAAAGGAAAAGAAGGGAAUCCUGUGGAGAUAUAGAUUAUAAGCCAGUUUAACGAAAUCUGGAAAUCUAGACUGCUGCUACUGAUAUUUUCCAUACUGAUAGGUGGGGCAGGAUGAUACUGGUUGUGGGUGGAUGUUUUGCAUGUACUACCCUGUGUCAUCCCACAUCAGAGCAUGACUCUUCUCCCCUCCCUCCAUCUCUGUCAGUGUGACAUUUGAUUCCUGACUCACAAGUUAAAGAUAUGUACAGGCCAUAUGGGCAGAUCAAAGCUGUCAGUUACACAUAGGAAACAUAUGGCUGCUGGUGUUGGCCUGUCAGCACUUAAGUCUCUUCCAUCACAGUCUCCCUCUAAUCUAACACACUGCCUCUCCACUGUUAAUUUCUCACCCCAACUGCUUCAAUGUGUGCUGUAUGAAUGUUAAUGCACAGACAUGCACACAUAUAAAAAGAGCAAAAAGCUCUGACUAAAAGGCCCCUGCUGAAAUGUAGUUUCUUGACUGAUGCCAGCAACUAAAACUUUGCCAAGUAACCUGAAAAAAUAAAUUAAAACAAAUCUUUGUAGUCACAGUUUCUAUUACAGGUCACAUGCAGUAAAGUCAAUUUUUCAUCUAGACAAUUGCAUUAUUUCAUUUCCUGGUACUUGAACUGUUGAAAAAUUGUCUAGUGUUUACUGAUAAGUUACAUUUCCUUUACUCGUUUAUUCAAAUGUGACACUUUUAUGAUCUGGGUGAGCCACCAAGUGGGACAGACAAAUGGAAUAAGGCGCCAAACUGUUUCCAGUUAACAUCUAACUGAGUUUAAAGAAAUCAGUUCUUGGAAAAGUCCAAGAAACCAAUUACAAAUUAAGCCUUUGCACACCAUUUGGUUGAGAGGCACAUGACAUCAUCGUUUAUUUCCUGUCCAAACUGCCAAACAGGAAGUUUGUCUUUACAAAAAAAAAAAAAAAAAGAAGAAGAAGAAAAAAGAAAAAAGA